ACGGGAGUGGCGAAAUAGGUAGACGCGUCAGAGUUAGAGUCUGAUAUCCUUAGAUAUGCGAGUUCAAAUCUCGCCUCCCGUA
rnacentral:tRNA from 1 species